UAGAGAAAAGGGCAAAUUCACUGAAAAGUGUUGACGCAAAACUAUAGGGGCUAAGUUCAAUUUGAAUAUGCCUGCCAGUUACCGGU
rnacentral:ncRNA from 1 species